GAUUGCGAAGGCGAUCUACUGGAACAUUAUUGACGCUGAGAUUCGAAAGCGUGGGGAGCAAACAGGAUUAGAUACCCUGGUAGUCCACGCCCUAAACGAUGCACACUAGUUGUUGCUAUGCUAGACAUAGCAGUAAUGCAGUUAACACAGUAAGUGUGCCGCCUGGGGAGUACGGUCGCAAGAUUAAAACUCAAAGGAAUAGACGGGGACCCGCACAAGCGGUGGAGCAUGUGGUUUAAUUCGACGAUACGCGAAGAACCUUACCUGGCCUUGACAUAGAAAGAACUUUCCAGAGACGGAUUGGUGCUAGUUUACUAGAGCUUUCAUACAGGUGCUGCACGGCUGUCGUCAGCUCGUGUCGUGAGAUGUUGGGUUAAGUCCCGCAACGAGCGCAACCCUCGUGUUUAGUUGCUAACAGUUCGGCUGAGGACUCUAGACAGACUGCCUGGGCAACCAGGAGGAAGGUGAGGACGACGUCAAGUCAUCAUGGCCCUUACGGCCAGGGCUACACACGUGCUACAAUGGGGUAUACAAAGAGCCGCGAUACCGUGAGGUGGAGCAAAUCUCAUAAAAUAUCUCCCAGUUCGGAUAGCAGUCUGCAACUCGACUGCUUGAAGUUGGAAUCGCUAGUAAUCGUAGAUCAGCAAUGCUACGGUGAAUACGUUCCCGGGUCUUGUACUCACCGCCCGUCACACCAUGGGAAUUGAAUUCAUUCGAAGCGGGGAUGCUAAAAUAGCUACCUUCCACAGUGGAUUUAGUAACUAGGGUGAAGUCGUAACAAGGUA
rnacentral:rRNA from 1 species